UGAGGUCAUCCAACACGCAGUCCAACAUUCAGCAUGUAUGCCAGACUAGAAUAACUUAAUUAAAUCCUUCCUCUGAGGAUUAAGAGGGUUAUUCUGACAGGCUUUUACAAGCCUGGGCAUGCUUGCAUGGCACAGAGGAGAGCGGUGCAGAGACAAGGAGGCAGCAGAGCAGCUCGAGGCAGCCCUGAUACAACAGUGCAAUGCUUCCAAUGGAGCCUGCUGGGAGACAGCCAACAUCUGCAGGCUGCAGCACUCCAGGCUGUGCCCAAGGACUGGCCCAGGGUGACCCCUAAAUCUGAGCUGGACACAGUGGGGGCUGGAGAUGUGCCACUGUGCGAGACGCCCCAGGACUGACCACGCCAGAGCAGGGACACCAGCAAAGACACGACAGCCACUGGUGACCAUGCUGCAGCUGGGAUACCCCAAAACAAAGAGCAGCAGAGGAAAGUCAGCAAGAAGCAGAUAACUGCAGAAAAAAGACCCCCAAAGCACAUGGAGUAACAGACAGAAAUCAUCAUGCCCAUAACCACAAACCUCCUGUACCUCACAGGCAGAGCUGAGACAAAAGCAAAUGCCAGCUGGCUUACAGAUGGAUCCACCACUGGCCAAGGCCAAGCUCAUCAGUGACAGUGUUGGCACCUCUGGGACAACAAAUUUAACAAGUGGGAAAGUUGCUGUGCAGCAGCAACAGCAGCCAAAGAGAGGAGUCUCUGCUCCACCAGAGAUCCACACGCAGCCCAUGGAGCUCCUGUGCUGGGGCUAGUGGCUGCCUGAAGGAGGCUGUGACCCUGUGGGAAGCUCACAUGGCAGCAGGCCUCUGGCAGGACCUGUGGGCCCCUGGAGAGAGGAGGCCACGCUUCCAGUCUUUGUGGGGCACUGACACUGGAGCAGGCUGUUCCUGAAAGACUUCACCUCUUGGAAAGGAAUCCAUGCUGGAGCGGUUUGUGAAGAACUGCAGCUGCUGGGAAGGGCUCACGCUGGAGGACUGUCUCCCAUGGAAGGGACUCCACACUGGAGCAGAAGCGUGUGAAGAGUCCUCCCUCUGAGGAGGAAGGAUUGGCAGAGAUAACGUGAUAAAGUGACUGCAGCCCCUGUUCCCUGUCCCCCUGUACCUGUUGGCAGGAGGAGGUAGAGAAUUUGGAAUAAAAUUAAGCCUGGAAAGAA